rnacentral:rRNA from 1 species
AUGGGGGGUUUAGGCGUCUUAGAUCUUGAUAUUAUGAACAUCUGCUUACUGUGCAAAUGGAUCUGGAAACUUGAAAAUUGUAGUGGUAAACCUGGUCAUUCUCAUUUCUGGCAGGGCCUAAUGAAGGUUAAACCAAUUUUCCUGCAAUAUUGUAGGAAGAUGGUGGGUAAUGGGGAAAGGACUAUGUUUUGGAGUGAUGUAUGGCUGGGAGACAAACCUCUUAGUGUGCAAUUCCCUAGGCUUUAUCUGCUGACCUUUAGUUUAGAUUUUACUUUCGCCAAAGCUUUAUCUGAUAAUAUGAGUUUGAUUAGAUUUAGAAGAGUUUUGUGGGGAGACACAGCUGAUAUGUGGUAUGAACUAAAAAAUCUAUGCAGUAAAGUAGUUUUAAACGAUCAAGAGGAUAGAUGUAGCUGGCUACUAACUAAAUCAGGUAGAUUCACUGUUAGAUCUUUGUACCUUGCUUUAAAAACAGAUCAGGCUGCCUGGCCUCAUAGGAAACUGUGGCAGGCGAGGAUACCGCUGAAAGUUAAAGUUUUCCUGUGGUUGAUGUUUAAGAAUAGUGUUCUAACUAGAGAUAAUUUGGCGAAAAGAAACUGGAAAGGAAAGGAUAAAAACUAUAGCUUCUGUGAUUACCCAGAAACGGUUGAACUUCUUUUCUGUGCAUGUGUGGUGGCUAAGUUUGUGUGGGGUGUGGUUAGGAAUGUAACUGGAAUUCAUGACAUUCCAUGCAAGAUAGAAGAGUUUACUGCCUGGGUAGAAAAAAUUCCUAAGAAUAUUAGACAAACAAUAGCAGCGGGUGUUUCUGCGGUGUUUUGGACUUUGUGGAAAGCCAGGAAUGCUGCUACGUUUCAUCAUGUUUACCCGCAUGAUCCUAGUAUGUUGUUCUUUCAAAUCUCUUAUUGGAUGUCCUACUGCACUGGUCUACAGAGAAAAGAAGGGCAACGGAUGUUGCAGGCCGUCACAGCACUGCUGGUUGAUGUUGCGAACGGGUUCUUCAACAAGAGCAGAGGAUAUGAUGGGCGCCCAUGGUGA